rnacentral:tRNA from 1 species
GGAGAGAUGUCCGAGCGGUCGAAGGAGCACGAUUGGAAAUCGUGUGUACGUUUCUUAGCGUACCGAGGGUUCGAAUCCCUCUCUCUCCGCCA